rnacentral:rRNA from 1 species
GAACGCUGGCGGCGUGCUUAACACAUGCAAGUCGAGCGGAAAGGCCCUUCGGGGUACUCGAGCGGCGAACGGGUGAGUAACACGUGGGCAACCUGCCCCUAGCUCUGGGAUAACUCCGGGAAACCGGGGCUAAUACCGGAUACGAUCUUCCACGGCAUCUCGGAAGAUGGAAAGUUUUUCGGCUAGGGAUGGGCCCGCGGCCUAUCAGCUUGUUGGUGAGGUAACGGCCCACCAAGGCGACGACGGGUAGCCGGCCUGAGAGGGCGACCGGCCACACUGGGACUGAGACACGGCCCAGACGCCUACGGGAGGCAGCAGUGGGGGAUAUUGCGCAAUGGGCGAAAGCCUGACGCAGCGACGCCGCGUGAGGGAUGAAGGCCUUCGGGUUGUAAACCUCUUUCAGCAGGGACGAAGCGAGAGUGACGGUACCUGCAGAAGAAGCACCGGCCAACUACGUGCCAGCAGCCGCGGUAAUACGUAGGGUGCAAGCGUUGUCCGGAAUUAUUGGGCGUAAAGAGCUCGUAGGCGGUCUGUCGCGUCGGCUGUGAAAACUCGGGGCUCAACCCCGAGCCUGCAGUCGAUACGGGCAGACUAGAGUGCUGUAGGGGAGACUGGAAUUCCUGGUGUAGCGGUGAAAUGCGCAGAUAUCAGGAGGAACACCGGUGGCGAAAGGCGGGUCUCUGGGCAGUAACUGACGCUGAGGAGCGAAAGCGUGGGGAGCAAACAGGAUUAGAUACCCUGGUAGUCCACGCCGUAAACGGUGGGUGCUAGGUGUAGGCGGUAUUCCACGCCGUCUGUGCCGCAGCUAACGCAUUAAGCACCCCGCCUGGGGAGUACGGCCGCAAGGCUAAAACUCAAAGGAAUUGACGGGGGCCCGCACAAGCAGCGGAGCAUGUGGCUUAAUUCGACGCAACGCGAAGAACCUUACCAAGGCUUGACAUACACCGAAAACUCAUAGAGAUAUGGGGUCCGCAAGGGCGGUGUACAGGUGGUGCAUGGUUGUCGUCAGCUCGUGUCGUGAGAUGUUGGGUUAAGUCCCGCAACGAGCGCAACCCUCGUUCUAUGUUGCCAGCGCGUCAUGGCGGGGACUCAUAGGAGACUGCCGGGGUCAACUCGGAGGAAGGUGGGGACGACGUCAAAUCAUCAUGCCCCUUAUGUCUUGGGCUGCACACAUGCUACAAUGGCCGGUACAAAGGGCUGCUAAACCGCGAGGUGGAGCGAAUCCCAAAAAGCCGGUCUCAGUUCGGAUUGGGGUCUGCAACUCGACCCCAUGAAGUCGGAGUUGCUAGUAAUCGCAGAUCAGCAACGCUGCGGUGAAUACGUUCCCGGGCCUUGUACACACCGCC